GCCUACGACCAUAUCACCCUGAAUGCGCCCGAUCUCGUCUGAUCUCGGACGCUAAGCAUGGUCGAGCCUGGUUAGUACUUGGAUGGGAUACUGCCUGGGAAUACCAGGUGUUGUAGGCU
rnacentral:rRNA from 1 species